UAAAGAUAAAGUUCCGGCGGUUAUAGAUGGGCAUGCGUCCCAUUAGCUAGUUGGUAAGGUAACGGCUUACCAAGGCUACGAUGGGUAGGGGGUCUGAGAGGAUGAUCCCCCACACUGGUACUGAGACACGGACCAGACUCCUACGGGAGGCAGCAGUGAGGAAUAUUGGUCAAUGGGCGCAAGCCUGAACCAGCCAUCCCGCGUGCAGGAUGACAGCCUUAUGGGUUGUAAACUGCUUUUGUACAAGAAGAAACCCCUAUACGUGUAUAGGGUUGACUGUACUGUAAGAAUAAGCAUCGGCUAACUCCGUGCCAGCAGCCGCGGUAAUACGGAGGAUGCAAGCGUUAUCCGGAUUUAUUGGGUUUAAAGGGUGCGUAGGCGGAAAACUAAGUCAGCGGUGAAAUCUUGCGGCUUAACCGUAAAAUUGCCAUUGAUACUGGUUUUCUUGAAUGUAGUUGAGGUAGGCGGAAUGUGUAGUGUAGCGGUGAAAUGCUUAGAUAUUACACAGAACACCGAUUGCGAAGGCAGCUUACUAAACUAUCACUGACGCUGAUGCACGAAAGCGUGGGGAUCGAACAGGAUUAGAUACCCUGGUAGUCCACGCCGUAAACGAUGAUCACUCGCUGUUUGCGAUAUACAGUGCCUGUGCCGCAGCGAAAGCAUUAAGUGAUCCACCUGGGGAGUACGAUCGCAAGGUUGAAACUCAAAGGAAUUGACGGGGGCCCGCACAAGCGGAGGAACAUGUGGUUUAAUUCGAUGAUACGCGAGGAACCUUACCUGGGCUUAAAUGUAGGCUGCAUUCGGCUGAAAGGCUGAUUCCCUUCGGGGCUGCUUACAAGGUGCUGCAUGGUUGUCGUCAGCUCGUGCCGUGAGGUGUCGGGUUAAGUCCCAUAACGAGCGCAACCCUUAUCGUUAGUUGCCAGCGGAUCAUGCCGGGGACUCUAGCGAGACUGCCACCGUAAGGUGUGAGGAAGGUGGGGAUGACGUCAAAUCAGCACGGCCCUUAUGUCCAGGGCUACACACGUGUUACAAUGGUAGGUACAGAGGGCAGCUACCUGGUGACAGGGUGCAAAUCUCUAAAACCUAUCCCAGUUCGGAUUGGAGUCUGCAACCCGACUCCAUGAAGUUGGAUUCGCUAGUAAUCGCGCAUCAGCCAUGGCGCGGUGAAUACGUUCCCGGGCCUUGUACACACCGCCCGUCAAACCAUGGGAGCUGGGGGUGCCUGAAGUCUGCCACCGCAAGGAGCGGCCUAGGGUAAAACCAGUGACUGGGGUUAAGUCGUAACAAGGUAACCU
rnacentral:rRNA from 1 species